GACGAACGCUGGCGGCGUGCUUAACACAUGCAAGUCGAACGGAAAGGCCCUGCUUUUGUGGGGUGCUCGAGUGGCGAACGGGUGAGUAACACGUGAGUAACCUGCCCUUGACUUUGGGAUAACUUCAGGAAACUGGGGCUAAUACCGGAUAGGAGCUCCUGCUGCCUGGUGGGGGUUGGAAAGUUUCGGCGGUUGGGGAUGAACUCGCGGCUUAUCAGCUUGUUGGUGGGGUAGUGGCUUACCAAGGCUUUGACGGGUAGCCGGCCUGAGAGGGUGACCGGCCACAUUGGGACUGAGAUACGGCCCAGACUCCUACGGGAGGCAGCAGUGGGGAAUAUUGCACAAUGGGCGGAAGCCUGAUGCAGCAACGCCGCGUGCGUGAUGACGGCCUUCGGGUUGGAAACCGCUUUCGCCUGUGACGAAGCGUGAGUGACGGUAAUGGGUAAAGAAGCACCGGCUAACUACGUG
rnacentral:rRNA from 1 species